GCAAAGAGGUCACACCCGUUCCCAUGCCGAACACGGCCGUUAAGCUCUUUUGCGCCGAUGGUAGUUGGAGGCUUCCUCCCGCGAGAGUAGGAC
rnacentral:rRNA from 1 species